GAUGAACGCUGGCGGCGUGCUUAACACAUGCAAGUCGAACGGAAAGGCCCUGCUCUUGUUGGGUGCUCGAGUGGCGCACGGGUGAGUAACACGUGAGUAACCUGCCCUUGUCUUUGGGAUAACUUCAGGAAACUGGGGCUCAUACCGGAUAUGAGCUCCUGCUGCAUGGUGGGGGUUGGAAAGUUUCGGCGGUUGGGGAUGGACUCGCGGCUUAUCAGCUUGUUGGUGGGGUAGUGGCUUACCAAGGUUUUGACGGGUAGCCGGCCUGAGAGGGCUACCGGCCACAAUGGGACUGAGAUACGGCCCAGACUCCUACGGGAGGCAGCAGUGGGGAAUAUUGCACAAUGGGCGGAAGCCUGAUGCAGCAACGCCGCGUGCGGGAUGACGGCCUUCGGGGUGUAAACCGCUUUCGCCUGUGACGAAGCGUGAGUGACGGUAAUGGGUAAAGAAGCACCGGCUAACUACGUG
rnacentral:rRNA from 1 species